AUCAUUUCUCAGACUUUUGGCUAACAUGAAGUAUAGUAUCUGUUCUUAUCAGUUUAAUAUCUGAUAUGUCCUCUAUGCAAGGACAAUAUCCUAAAUGGAUUUUUGGAGCAGGGUGAUGGACUAGGAGCUUGAUCCAUCCACUCUGUGUAUCGACCUGGUAUUGCAGUGCCUCCAGGAAUGGUGCACCCCUC